rnacentral:rRNA from 1 species
UACAGGGGGGGCAAGCGUUGUUCGGAAUUACUGGGCGUAAAGGGCUCGUAGGUGGCCAACUAAGUCAGACGUGAAAUCCCUCGGCUUAACCGGGGAACUGCAUCUGAUACUGGAUGGCUUGAGUUCGGGAGAGGGAUGCGGAAUUCCAGGUGUAGCGGUGAAAUGCGUAGAUAUCUGGAGGAACACCGGUGGCGAAGGCGGCAUCCUGGACCGACAUUGACGCUGAACGGCGAAAGCUAGGGGAGCAAACGGG